CCGGCUCACACUGCGGUGUGGCUGCGCUCCGAGAAGAUGCGCAGCGUGAAGUCGGCCUCAUCGCCCACGCGGGAGGCGCUGGGCACCACCAGUGCCCUCAUCCCCUGUGCUCCCUUCCUGCCCUCUGACCCCCAGCCCUCUUCUGUCCCUGUACCUGAACCCCUCUCUCCAGUUCUCUCUUUAGUGGCGCUCCCGUCUGAACCCUAGGUUCCCCGCUGCUCGUAACAGUGCCCUCGUGACCCGCUGCCCCCCUGCCCUCACCUGGAACACGUGGAAGCCCACCGUGAGGCUCCAGCAGCGUCAGCCGGAACUGGGGGUUGGUCCAGAAGUUUUCUGGAGGAAAGGAAGGAAGAGAGGGAGCUCCCAGCCACCACGGCCCGCCCCAGCUUGCUUGCAGGGGUCCCCGGCCUCACCAGCGCUGGGCUGGCUCCCUCCGGAGUUGAAGCCUCGCACCCAGCGGCCCUGGAACGUGUGGAUGUGCCAGCUGCCACCAGCAGGGCUGGGGCCCAACACCUCCGGGCUCAGCGAGCAGAUCUGGACUGUAUUGAAGUGCGUGAGGAAGUCCUGAAGCUCCAUCCUGGGCAGCACAAACGUGAGAGGUGCCCGCCACCCCGGAGCCCAGCCUGAGGGACCCCAGAGGUGGCCCCCGCUACAAAGCCCCCGGUUCCUAAAUACCAGCCAAUAACCUCCGAUUUCCAGAAACCCCAAAUCCUCCAGGCCUUGCCAAGGGCUCCAAGCCCACACAGAUAGCCCAUGUCUGGGAAGAUUCACAAACUUCUCUCAACGUCUCAAAUUAACUUUAGAAAAUCCUCGUGGAGGGCUGGGAAGAUGGCCAAGCCGAUAAAAGCUGCUGAUGUACAAGCCUGACAACCUGAGUUCGAUCUCAGGAUCCCACUGUGGAAGGAGAGGACUGACUCCCAGCACUGACCCCUCUCACCACCAAGGGAUGCCCCGCUCACAGACACAUAAAGAAAUACAAAACUAGGGAAACAGCUUGAAGCCAUAUAUUCCCUUAUGCCUGCAAGUCCAGCGCUGGGGAGGCCGAGGCAGAAAGAUUGCCACGAGUGUGAGGCUAGCCUGGUCUACAUGGUGAGUUUUAGGCUGGCCUAACCUGGAUGUCCUCGAUCUGAAAACCAUGCCCUUCGUGGUUCCUGCUGCUUCUGCCCUGACUUUGCAGGAUAGAUUCAGACUCCCAAAUCACAGCUGACAGGGACCGUGUCUCUGCAUCUGGCCCUGUCGCACUCGGUGGCCCUCCCACAGAACUCACCAGAACUCGCCAUCCUCCUUUUUGACAAGCAGGGCGUCUCGCCACUCGGCGGGGAGCAUGUCCCAGCGCGGGCAGCUGAAGAGAGCAACAUGAGCUGCAGGAAUGUGGGCGCCAAGCCCCCACCCACCUCGAGCCCAUCCCACCUGUCACUCCAGGGCCCCGACCACUCCACGCGGCCCCACGGGUUCCUCAGCCGCAGCAGCCGCACCUUGGUGAAGCCCAGGGACAUCUGAAGACAAUGGCAUCUGUGAGGGAGCCCUUCGUCCGUGCGGAUCUCACCCUGAUCGCUCUGAAAGAGGAGGAGACCGUGCGGCUGAGAUGGAAGCAGCUCUCCCUAGCCUUCCUCCCCACCCCAGCCUCAGGCCUCCAACCCUAGCUAUCCAAGCAGCAUGAAAUGCCAGGAGGCUCAGAGAUGGUGUCUGAGCCGAAGAGUGAGUGACAGAAUUGAGAGGGAGAAGCCAGGACGCUGUGUCUCAGGGCUGGGGCUCCCAGCUACACAGAGAGCCGGGCCAGGAAGUUCAAGGCCAGCGCGGGUAACUUAGACCCCGCCUCAAAACAAGAAUGUAAAACCCGGGGGCUGGUGGGGUGUGGUUCAUGUGGGGAGCACAGGCCCAGGAUCUGCCAUCGAGGAUCCGGGGGACGACAGCGGAGGGUGAGAACACUGGGCGUCCCCCCGCCCCCAUCCCUGACUGUGCUGGUCUAGCAGGGGUCCACGUGGGCGCUUGGCUCUUACCAGGGCAGUGGCACCCACAAGGGACUCCUUGGCCAGCGCGUGGCGCAGGGCGGCGAAGAGGCCGGGGGUGUGUCUUCUCAGGUAGAGGACCUCACCCACACCUCCUGUGAAGUCCACGAAAGCCUCGUUCAUGUGGCCUCCUCGCAUCACCUCGUAGGAGCCAUGGAGCCUGUGGAGCAGGCGGAGAUGAACUGCGGCUCAGCACAAAACUCCUGGAAAACCAGGGUUCCAGUGAAGCCGGGAAGGAAACGCCUGGAGCAGUGGGGGAGUCAGAGGCCCAGGUCCCUGAGCCCAGCGUCCCGGGUAAUGAGGGCCUCCAACCCUGGGAAGGCUUGUGGGUGGGAGUUUCACCUUCCUGGAUCCCCUGAACCCCACAGCUGAGCCAGCUCCGAUCCCCCCAUUCCCAUUUCCUCAGAGCUACGGUUUCAGACUUGAGCCUGCCACUCUCACACCCAACACCCAUAUUCUGACCCUGAUCCCUCAGACUCUGGCCCUUGUCUCUCAGACCCAGGAGUCCAGGCCCUGGCCUUCCUCCCUCAGACCCAGACCUUGGCCCUGGCCCUCCUCCCUCAGACCCAGGAGUCCAGGCCUUGGCGUCUCCUCCCUCAGUCCCAGGACUUGGCCCUUCUCCCUCAGACCCAGGAGUCCAGGCCUUGGCCCUCCUCCCUCAGACCCAGGAGUCCAGGCCCUGGCCUUCCUCCCUCAGUCCCAGGAGUCCAGGCCUUGGCCCUCCUCCCUCAGACCCAGGAGUCCAGGCCCUGGCCCUCCUCCCUCAGACCCAGGAGUCCAGGCCUUGGCGUCUCCUCCCUCAGACUCGAGGAUCAGAAAUUUAGGCCGCACCUCUCCUCCCUCAGACCCAGGUCCCAGCCCAGCCCUGCUUUACAUGAGGUCGCUUCCAUUCCACCCCUUUG